rnacentral:rRNA from 1 species
UACGAAGGGGGCUAGCGUUGUUCGGAUUUACUGGGGCGUAAAAGCGCACGUAGGCGGAUCGAUCAGUCAGGGGUGAAAUCCCAGAGCUCAACUCUGGAACUGCCUUUGAUACUGUCGAUCUGGAGUAUGGAAGAGGUGAGUGGAAUUCCGAGUGUAGAGGUGAAAUUCGUAGAUAUUCGGAGGAACACCAGUGGCGAAGGCGGCUCACUGGCUCAUUACUGACGCUCAGGCGCGAUAGCGUGGGGAUCAAACAGG